CUCGAAGGACGAACGGCUGGCGGCGUGCUUAACACAUGCAAGUCGAGCGAUCGAAGUUUCUCUUUAGGGAAACGGNUUAGCGGCGGACGGGUGAGUAACGCGUGGAUAACCUGCCAUACACUGGGGGAUAACAGCUGGAAACAGCUGCUAAUACCGCAUAAAACUGUAGAGUCGCAUGACUUUAUAGCCAAAGCUCCGGCGGUGUAUGAUGGAUCCGCGUCUGAUUAGCCAGUUGGCGGGGUAACGGCCCACCAAAGCGACGAUCAGUAGCCGACCUGAGAGGGUGACCGGCCACAUUGGGACUGAGACACGGCCCAAACUCCUACGGGAGGCAGCAGUGGGGAAUAUUGCACAAUGGGGGAAACCCUGAUGCAGCGACGCCGCGUGAGCGAAGAAGUAUUUCGGUAUGUAAAGCUCUAUCAGCAGGGAAGAAGAAAUGACGGUACCUGACUAAGAAGCCCCGGCUAACUACGUG
rnacentral:rRNA from 1 species